GAACGCGAAGAACCUUACCUGAUCUUGACAUCCCCCUGACCGGUGAGUAAUGUCACCUUUCCUUCGGGACAGGGGAGGCAGGUGGUGCAUGGUUGUCGUCAGCUCGUGUCGUGAGAUGUUGGGUUAAGUCUCGCAACGAGCGCAACCCUUAUCUUUAGUAGCCAGCAUAUAAGGUGGGCACUCUAGAGAGACUGCCAGGGAUAACCUGGAGGAAGGUGGGGAUGACGUCAAAUCAUCAUGCCCCUUAUGACUAGGGCUACACACGUGCUACAAUGGCGUAAACAAAGGGAAGCAAUCCCGCGAGGGGGAGCAAAUCUCAAAAAUAACGUCUCAGUUCGGAUUGUAGUCUGCAACUCGACUACAUGAAGCUGGAAUCGCUAGUAAUCGCGAAUCAGAAUGUCGCGGUGAAUACGUUCCCGGGUCUUGUACACACCGA
rnacentral:rRNA from 1 species